rnacentral:pre_miRNA from 1 species
AUUCCAUCUGACUUACAGCACGGUGUGAACAGGUUAAAUGUGGUGCAGUGUGGUAGUGGAAAACGCUGCAUCACGUGUGACCUCCCCACACCGCGCCGUGUCUCUCCGUCUGGAGAU